UACAGAGGGGGCAAGCGUUGUUCGGAAUUACUGGGCGUAAAGGGCGCGUAGGCGGCCUGUUAAGUCGAACGUGAAAUCCCCGGGCUCAACCCGGGAACUGCGUCCGAUACUGGCAGGCUUGAAUUCGGGAGAGGGAUGCGGAAUUCCAGGUGUAGCGGUGAAAUGCGUAGAUAUCUGGAGGAACACCGGUGGCGAAGGCGGCAUCCUGGACCGAGAUUGACGCUGAGGCGCGAAAGCCAGGGGAGCGAAACGGGA
rnacentral:rRNA from 1 species